CAGCUUUCUCUGUGGUCGCGACCACUUGGUCGUCCGCGUCACCUGCUUCGGACGAGAAUGCGUCAGUUGAUUACACAGCGCACCGGCUCGUAUCAGUGACACCCGUUACAGCAGCCCAAGUUAGCCUGCUAUCGACCUUGACGGACAAGCUACAGCUCGACGUAUGGCAAGAGUCC